UCCUUGAAAUACCACCCUUUAAUGGCUGGUGUUCUAACGUAGACCCGUGAUCCGGGUUGCGGACAGUGUCUGGUGGGUAGUUUGACUGGGGCGGUCUCCUCCCAAAGAGUAACGGAGGAGCACGAAGGUUGGCUAAUCCUGGUCGGACAUCAGGAGGUUAGUGCAAUGGCAUAAGCCAGCUUGACUGCGAGCGUGACGGCGCGAGCAGGUGCGAAAGCAGGUCAUAGUGAUCCGGUGGUUCUGAAUGGAAGGGCCAUCGCUCAACGGAUAAAAGGUACUCCGGGGAUAACAGGCUGAUACCGCCCAAGAGUUCAUAUCGACGGCGGUGUUUGGCACCUCGAUGUCGGCUCAUCACAUCCUGGGGCUGAAGUAGGUCCCAAGGGUAUGGCUGUUCGCCAUUUAAAGUGGUACGCGAGCUGGGUUUAGAACGUCGUGAGACAGUUCGGUCCCUAUCUGCCGUGGGCGCUGGAGAAUUGAGGGGGGCUGCUCCUAGUACGAGAGGACCGGAGUGGACGCAUCACUGGUGUUCGGGUUGUCAUGCCAAUGGCACUGCCCGGUAGCUAAAUGCGGAAGAGAUAAGUGCUGAAAGCAUCUAAGCACGAAACUUGCCCCGAGAUGAGUUCUCCCUGAGACCUUGAGUCUCCUGAAGGAACGUUGAAGACGACGACGUUGAUAGGUCGGGUGUGUAAGCGCAGCGAUGCGUUGAGCUAACCGAUACUAAUGAACCGUGAGGCUUAACCUUACAACGCCGAAGCUGUU
rnacentral:rRNA from 1 species